CCCUUGCUGAAGUGCUGCAGAUCACCCCAAGAUCUACCAGUGAAUCUCAAUUUUACUUUUUAUCAAGCCUAGCUGGACAUUUAUCCUUGGCAAAUAGAUUUCAGAUGCUCCAUAGUUCUGUUUGUGAACUCCUUAUCUCUACAGCAGUGUCAAGAGAAGCUAAUGAGACAAAGCAGGAACUGACAGCAGUACUAGGAGAUCAUUAUUUGGAACAGGGAAUACCUCUAUUUACACAAGUGCCUUGAGUGCCCCCCUUCUCCAAGGCCCUCAUUCUCUUUGACAACAAAGCAGAUAUCACCCUGGGAGUGGAACGCCUCUAAAGUGUCCCUGAAGUCCUCUUCAAUUAAUCUCUCUGAUUCUUUCAGUUGCUCCAGAACUUAGAGCUGCUGAGCAACUCCAGGAGUUUGCUGAGCAAACAGAGAUUGCGUCUGGCUGUCAGGUAUACACAUGAACCCACAGUGCUGAAAUGGUGGAUUCAACCUUCUCUGUUUUCACAUUCUGAGUUCUUCAGCAUCGUUUACCCACCAACUUACUAUGCUCCUGCUGUAUCUUCUCUAUGCAUACGGAAAGGCUGCUUACAGGCGAACAACAAGAUGUUUCUUUGAGGUCCUGGAUGGCUGCGCGGAUAGCCAAGCAAUCGGCUUGCUGCUUGUUGAAAGCCUCAAUGAUGUUGGUAAAUAGUGUGUCAAUGUCAGUCACAUAGACUCGUUUCACAGUGAAGGGCUUCUCUUGGAAGAGAACUAGAAAGAUGGAAGCCCAUAGAAACCUGUUGGUUAGUGAAUUGCUUAAGGGAAAAAAGAAUAAUGAAAUCACAACAAUAUUUAGAAUAUAAUAUUUGAAACUAACAAGAAUGAGUAAAUAAAAUGGAUUAGUACAAACUGGGAAUAAGAAUUACAGAGAUCUUAUUUCCUGGGCACUGAAGAAUACUUUUUUAAAAAAAUAGAAGUUCCCACUUACAUAUUUAAAAUCUCUCAUCUAUUUUUCUUGGGGGGAAAUCCUUGAGGUUAUUCAAUUUUACCUGUUGAAGCUACACACUUGCCUGGCAAUGUGGCACUGGCUGUA